rnacentral:rRNA from 1 species
UACGGGGGGGGCAAGCGUUGUUCGGAAUUACUGGGCGUAAAGCGCACGUAGGCGGCGCCGUAAGUCAGGGGUGAAAUCCCGGAGCUCAACUCCGGAACUGCCCUUGAAACUGCAGUGCUAGAAUCUUGGAGAGGCGAGUGGAAUUCCGAGUGUAGAGGUGAAAUUCGUAGAUAUUCGGAAGAACACCAGUGGCGAAGGCGACUCGCUGGACAAGUAUUGACGCUGAGGUGCGAAAGCGUGGGGAGCAAACAGG